rnacentral:rRNA from 1 species
GACGAACGCUGGCGGCGUGCUUAACACAUGCAAGUCGAACGAAGUGGCGCACGGGUGAGUAACGCGUAAUCAACCUGCCCGUCAGAGGGGGACAACAGUUGGAAACGACUGCUAAUACCGCAUACUGAAGGGGGGGAUUGCGUCUGAUUGGCUAGUUGGAGGGGUAACGGCCCACCAAGGCGAGGAGCCGUAGCCGGGCUGAUAGGAUGACCGGCCACAUUGGGACUGAGACCCGGCCCAGACUCCUACGGGAGGCAGCAGGUGGGAAUCUUCCGCAAUGGACGAAAGUCUGACGGAGCCACGCCGCGUUAGUGAUGACGGCCUUCGGGUUUUAAAGCUCUGUUAAUCGGGACGCGUUACCGGAAUAGAAAGCCACGGCUAACUACGUGCCAGCAGCCGCGGUAAUUC